rnacentral:rRNA from 1 species
UACGAAGGGGGCUAGCGUUGCUCGGAAUCACUGGGCGUAAAGCGCACGUAGGCGGACUCUUAAGUCGGUGGUGAAAUCCUGGAGUUCAACUCCAGAACUGCCUUCGAUACUGGGAGUCUCGAGUCCGAGAGAGGUGAGUGGAACUGCGAGUGUAGAGGUGAAAUUCGUAGAUAUUCGCAAGAACACCAGUGGCGAAGGCGGCUCACUGGCUCGGUACUGACGCUGAGGUGCGAAAGCGUGGGGAGCAAACAGG